UUGUGAUCUUAGAACAAAAUAUUCUAUAAGAUCGUUCAUCUAUGUUUACAAAAUAUUGAAUCAUAUCAUCAACAAAAAUUUCCAUUUGAAUUUCUUCAUCAUUUUAGAUAUCAUUUUUUUUUUUGGGGGUCAAGAACUGAAACAAUAAUUUGAUACACGCGAGAGGAAAACAAAAAGUGUGAGAGAAAUGAAACGAAUAAAAUGAAGAUUGGAGAAUAUUAAAGUAAAUUGAGAGGAUGAAAAUCGUUAAAGUGAGUUAAUUUACUCACAGAUUAAUAAUUUUGACAACAAACUGCAAAAAAAUUCACACGUUUUUCGUUAAAAGUAUUUUCAAGGUAAAAUAAAUUGUAAAUAUUAGCAACGCUUCAAAGAGGAUGACAUUUUAAAAGCGGCCAUUUUGUUGAUAUUAAUGAAAAGCUUUUUUAUAUUAAAUUUUAGUGGAGAUUGCGCUCAAAUAUAAUUUUAAUUGAACGUUUUAUUUUAAUAUAAAUUUGAAAAAUCAUCGUUUUUAACUUUUAUUAUUUAUUUAAAUUUAAA